GGUUGGUCCUAGUGCAGUGGUAUUUACAACUAACUGAUCACAACCAGUUACCGAUUAUUUUGUUCCUUCUCCACUCCCACUGCUUCACUUGACCAGUAAGUA
ensembl:misc_RNA Y_RNA Y RNA